CUCACCUCCCUGCCAAUCAAAGAGCAGGGGCGGAGCUACAGUCUCAGGGUUCAUUCAUGGUACCAACCCAACUGUUGAGCGGCGCAAUGUUUCUACAGUGUAGGGAGGUCCUGGUCUCAGGUGAUGUUAUUAUGUGUGGGACAUGUCCAUGUCUCAGGUGAUGUUGUAAAGGUUAGGUGAGGGACAUCUCGUGGCCUCAGGUGAUGUUAUAAAGGUUAUCUCAUUGUCUCAGGUGAUGUUCUAAGGUUCUUACGUGAGGGACAUCUCGUGGUCUCCCAGGUGGUAGUAGAUGAUGCUGAGCUGCAGGAAGGCCUUGGUGUUGUCACUCCUCAGCUUAGAGGUGGCCUUGAGGUCGCUGAUGGCCUUCCCGUUCUCCCCCAUCUG